UUUAAUCAACGAUACUGGACAACGUUGAUUAUUGUCAAGUGAGUAGGACUUUCGGUUUGCCAAAUUUACUGUUUUACAAAUAAUUAAUAAUAAUAUAGGCCCUGAAGAAGGUCCCAACCAAGGACCGAAACGUUGGCGACGACAAAAUAUAAAUCGACGCGUUUUACUGCGACUGCAAGCCGAAACAAUCUCCCUACGCUCCACAAAUCAGUCGGAAAUCCAUAUUCGUUAAUUGUAAUUUUAUUUGGCUACAAUAUCCGGGUCCGGUGGUUUAGUGGUUAGCGUGGUAGCCUCUAAACCCCAGUAUGGCCUGGGUUCAAUCCCAGACGGACCCGGUGGCAUUUUUCGCGACGAGAUUUGCCUGAUCACGCCUUCUAUCGGAUGGGGAAGUAAAACGUCGGUCCAUUUGCGUAAAAGAGGUUUUGGGUGACUCACCACACAUAACCUUCGGAGGCCUAGAAAUGAGCAGAAACUUGCAACAGAGACCACAAAAGACCCGGGGUCGUUAAUGUGGAUUACUUUGCUUAUCCUCUUACUCAGAGUAUCAGGGCAAGGAGGUGUACAAACCGGAACUUUAAAUUAGGACAAAUAUGAAAUCGAUCUUGUUGGCUGUGCCUAGGGCGUCGUUGUCGCGUACCUGCCGCACGUACGCCUUCUUUAAUAUCCCCAGUCACGAAAAAUUCUGGCUGAGUUUGUUCUGCUAGAAUCCUGCUAGAAUGAUUCUAGCAGGCCUGCCAGAAUUAUUUAAGAAUUUUGCCGGAAUGUUCUGACAGGGCGAAAUCUGCUAGAAUCCUGUAAGAAUUUUGUUAGAACACUCUGACAGAGCAAAAUCGGUCACAAAAUACGUCAUUUCCGUUGAACCGCUUUGCCAUUUCCACAUACCCAUCUUGCGAGCGAACGUUUCACACACGUUUUAAUUUGUCUUACGAUCGAAGAAGAUGUCAUUCCUUCAACCAUCCGUAGUUUGGUAAGAAUUUUAUAAAUAUUUGUGACUUGACCAAGGACUUGACAUAAUUCAAAUUGCCUUACUUAAUUCACAGGAACUGGAUCCAGGCGUAUCAUCGUAAAAAAUCCAGACUUCUUGCAAAAAACGACGAUGCCAGCUCGGUGUCCAAGAACGCAACGCAGCGAUGCCAAAUCUUCCGUCCAAUAAAAUCAACUGGAGUGAAGGAAUUGAAGCCAAAACCGUUGGGGGCCGGAUAGCAUCGCAUUGGUGGAAGGUAUCUUCUUUCAGUGGUGCGAAUGUGACAAGUUAUAUUUAUUGUAAAAUUACAGUGUUAAUAAUUGUGAGGAAUAAAGUUGUUUAAAUAUUGUUCUUUUCAGCUAGAAUACACCUAGCAAACAAAAGUGAAAUGAUUUUUCAUGGAUAUUUUGUACCUUCGCUAUUCUAACAAAAUUCUAGCAGAAUUCUAGCAGAAAAUUCCUGCCAGAAAAUUCUAGCAUGAUUCUUACAGAGUUCUAGCAGAAGACCUGUCAGAAUACUUCUAGAAAAAUUCUAGCAGGAUUCUUACAGAACCGGUUGGUUUCGCCGGUUCCUGCUAGAACCGGUUAUUGCAUUUGAGCUAGAAUUCUUUGAGGAUUCUUGCAAAGUUUUGGCAGGAUGAUGGCACAGUUCUAGUAAGAUUUUUUUCGCUCUGCUAGAAUUCUGUAAGAUUCCUGUGAGAACGCCGUGACUGGGUCUGUGUAAAAAAAUUACACAGAUUGUUGUUCAGUUCUAGCUUUCAUAAUCUGAGUAAUUUUUUUACACAGAUCUGUGUAAAAAAAUACACAGAUUUUUGAAAAGCCGUUCUUUCAAAUCUGUGUAAAAAACAGUUGUCAUUUUUUAACAGACACCAUUAAAGUUCUUCGUGAAGUUGGUAAGUUUUAUUUCUCUAAUUGAGUUAUUGUUUUUUUUUUAAUUAGUUUAAUAUUUCAGACUUUGGCCAUUUUCAAAACUUUAACCAGUACCCAAUGAAAUGAUUGUUUGUGGAACCUGUUUCCGGAAUAUUCUUGUUGGUAAAAGUAAAAGUGGCCACAGGUUCCGGAAGCCAGCUUGGGUGGCACUUUACGACGUCAUCCUCGUCUUCAUUGUUAUGUUGUUAUCGUCGCUAUCGCGAGAAGCCAACUCUAAGGGCCCUUACAGAGUGGACGCUGCAAGCGACGCUACAAGCGACGCGACUAAUUUGACAGGCGAAGCGACUACGCGCGACUCAUUUGCGGCCAGCAGAAAUCGCUCGCCUAUUCAGAGUAGAAGCGAUUUUUCGCUGCGCUACAAGCGACGAACAAGCAACUGUCAAAUUGGUCGCGCGACCGACCUGUGCAAACCGAGGUCAGUCGCCUGCAAAUCAAGCGAUUUAAAUUGAUUCUGAUGUUUUGUUCAGCUUUCGCUAUUAAAAUUUCAAAUAAAAUGGACAGUAGAAUUGUUUGAUGCAAUCUCGGAUGCAAUAAAUAAAGUACAUUUAAUUAAAAAAUUGCAAAAUGGUUCGAAAUGAAUUUUAAAUUGUAAAUAAAAAAUAAAAAAAAAUAUUUCAAUAUACAACCUGAAAUCAAAAUUUGUAUGAUUUAGGUCAACAAAUUUGUAAAAUAUGAUAUCAGAAAUGGUCCUUCAAAUAAUAUGGUGGCCACUGGCCACUCUGGAAUCGGUUCUGAAUGUCCUCCGGGGAACCACCGAAGUGGCCAAUAUCUGAUCAGAGCAAAACCAGUCAAUAUUGGUAUCGAAAUUUUUCAUUUUGGAAGGACAUCUCAAAAAUGGUCCACCAAAAUAAUUUGGUGGCCACUGGCCACUCCGGAACCGGUUCUGAAUGUCCUCCGGGGAACCACCGAAGUGGCCAAUAUCUGAUCAGAGCAAAACCAGUCAAUAUUGGUAUCGAAAUUCUUCAUUUUGGAAGGACAUCUCAAAAAUGGUCCACCAAAAUAAUUUGGUGGCCACUGGCCACUCCGGAACCGGUUCUGAAUGUCCUCCGGGGAACCACCGAAGUGGCCAAUAUCUGAUCAGAGCAAAACCAGUCAAUAUUGGUAUCGAAAUUUUUCAUUUUGGAAGGACAUCUCAAAAAUGGUCCACCAAAAUAAUUUGGUGGCCACUGGCCACUCCGGAACCGGUUCUAAAUGUCCUCCGGGGAACCACCGAAGUGGCCAAUAUCUGAUCAGAAGAAAACUAGUCAAUGUUGGUAUCAAAAUUCUUCAUUUUGGAAGGACAUCUCAAAAAUGGUCCACCAAAAUAAUUUGGUGGCCACUGGCCACUCCGGAACCGGUUCUAAAUGUCCUCCGGGGAACCACCGAAGUGGCCAAUAUCUGAUCAGAAGAAAACUAGUCAAUGUUGAUAUGAAAAUUCUUGGCCAAUAUCUGAUCAGAGCAAAACCAGUCAAUAUUGGUAUCGAAAUUCUUCAUUUUGGCCACUCCGGAACCGGUUCUGAAUGUCCUCCGGGGAACCACCGAAGUGGCCAAUAUCUGAUCAGAGCAAAAUCAGUCAAUAUUGGUAUCAAAAUUCUGCAUUUUGGAAGGACGUCUAAAAAAUGCUCCACCGAAAUAAUUUGGUGGCCACUGGCCACUCCGGAACUGGUUCUCCGGAACAACCGAAGUGGCCAAUAUCUGAUCAGGGCAAAACCUGUCAAUAUAGGUAUCGAAAUUCUUCAUUUUGGAAGGACAUCUCGGAAAUGGUCCAUGGCGUUCAUAAGGAAAAUGUACUUGGAUGACAAUCAACCAUUUGAACUUUAAUAAAAUGGGGUUGCAGAAUUUGAAUUUGUUCAAAGUAACAAAAUACAAAAAAAAAACAAAACAAAAAUUUGAUACGAUUAUCGGAAGUCCACAUAGAA